GACAGAGGGUGCAAACGUUGCUCGGAAUCACUGGGCGUAAAGGGCGUGUAGGCGGGUAGAUAAGUCGGGCGUGAAAUCCCUAGGCUCAACCUAGGAACUGCACUCGAAACUGUUUAUCUUGAGUGCCGGAGAGGAAAGCGGAAUUCCUGGUGUAGUGGUGAAAUUCGUAGAUAUCGGGAGGAACACCGGUGGCGAAGGCGGCGACCUGGGACAAUACUGACGCUGAGGUGCGAAAGCGUGGGGAGCAAACAGG
rnacentral:rRNA from 1 species